GAUCAGGUGGCCAGGUGGUUAGAGAGUCUGCCUCAGAUGCGGGAGGUCGUGGGUUCGAUCCCUGCUUAAGUCA